rnacentral:lncRNA from 1 species
CCUGACCUUCCCUGUGAUCAGCAGCAGACCGAGGCCACUGGGACACCUGACCUCCAGCAGUGACACUGUCUUGGGCAAGCAGCACCCAGACACCGGCACACUGGCAGCUGUGCCUGCACCCAGAGGACCCACCCACGGUCAUCCCGUCUGACCCACCCGGCAGCAGCCGGAGCCUGCACCCUGUGGUGAGCGACAGGAAACUGAGAGGACACAGGGCCUUGUCGAGGUUGGCGGGGAGGGUCCUGCUGAGCCCACACCUCUGGUUUCUGUUCCUCCCCAGCACUCGUCCCUCCCAUGACUACUCAGGAAUUGAGGCAAGAGCAAGACAAGGAGGAGCACGGGCUGCCCUGCAGCAGGCGAGGGCUCCGUCCUGUUCCCUCUCUGUCUUCUCCACGCCCGGUGCACAGACAGCACCUGGGAUGCGUCAGUCAUAGGACCCUGACCCUUCUCAACCCUCUGUGGGCUCCUCCAGGCAGGAUCCCCAGCCGCAACUGUUACCAGGAUGCUAAAUGGAAAUGCAUAGACUGUUCCAAAGCACCUCAGCCCCCGGGGCUAAGACCGUCCUGCAGGAGCAUCCCAAGAGAGAUGCCAGUGAUGAGCCGGGAGAAAAUGCAGGAACUCAUCUUAGGACAGCAUCAGCAAGAUGUCCUCAAAUAUCUACCCCAUCUUCUCCAGCACAGAAUGUGAAGUCCAGCUGAAAAGUCCACCUCCCGGCCACUCUCCCUGAAGGUGUGACCUACAUGGC